rnacentral:snRNA from 1 species
AUACCUUUCUCGGCCUUUUGGCUAAGAUCAAGUGUAGUAUCUGUUCUUAUCAGUUUAAUAUCUGAUAUGUGGGUCAUCAACCCACUAUGAUAUUAAAUUAUUUUUUUAUGGGGGAGGGUUCACCGUAGUCGCUUGCCACUGGGACCCUCACGUGUCGCCCAUGCGUUGCAUUGUUUGCAUGGGCUUGGCGCACCUUGA